rnacentral:lncRNA from 1 species
CCCAUUUGAGCUUUUCUCUCAAUGUCUUCUUCACUAGAUUGAAAAUCAAGGUCUGUACGUAUCCUCCUUUUGAUCACCAUUAGCUUCCUCUUUUCUAUUCAAACCGAUCCAUUUUCAUGCCCCGUCUUUAAUUAUUUGCUGCAGAGAUAUAUGGCAAGAGUAGUAGGUGGUGUUAUCGUUUGUGUGAUGAUAGUUGCCAUUGAUGUUGUUGCUGGCGUUCUGAGUAUCAAAGCAGGAUUAAUUGCUCAAAACAAG